rnacentral:rRNA from 1 species
CACGACCUCAGAGCAGGCGAGACUACCCGCUGAAUUUAAGCAUAUUAUUAAGCGGAGGAAAAGAAACUAACAAGGAUUCCCUUAGUAGCGGCGAGCGAACAGGGAAAAGCCCAGCACCGAAUCUCGUAGGUUCACCCUGCUGAGAAAUGUGGUGUUUGGGAGGGUCCACUCAUCCCGGAGUCCUGCGGCGAGUUCAAGUCCUUCUUGAAUGGGGCCACGGCCCGCAGAGGGUGCCAGGCCCGUAGAGACCGCUGCGGCUUCCGGGAGGAUCCCUCCUUAGAGUCGGGUUGCUUGAGAGUGCAGCCCUAAGUGGGUGGUAAACUCCAUCUAAGGCUAAAUAUGACCACGAGACCGAUAGCGAACAAGUACCGUGAGGGAAAGUUGAAAAGAACUUUGWAGAGAGAGUUMAAGAGUACGUGAAACCGUUCAGGGGUAAACGUGAGAAACCCGAAAAUGCAUCAACCGGAGAGAUUCAAGUCUAUCCGCGCCUAGUCCCCUACCUUGCCAGAUGGGUCUGACCUCCCGCACGGAGCAAUCCGGCGUCGGUGUAGGCAACAGUUUUCACUCGGUAGGGUAGUGGUGGUUAGGUCGGGGGGCCGCACUUCUCUCCAUGUUGGACGUCGCGACCCGUUGGGUGUCGGCCUAAGGCCUGGGUGGUAGUCUGUUUGUCUGCGUCGUAAGGCGUGUUCGUCGGACAGGCCCCCAGUGUUCCCGGCCGACGGCUCGACGGUAUGUGUGCGCAGAGUUGAUUCGCCRCCUCUCGGGGUGGGCGUCCGGCCUCCGGCAAGCGCGUGCGCGUAGCAUGGAUGACGGACCUCUGGCCCGGCUCCGGCUCCGCACCGCUGUUGGUUCGGGUGUGCCUCGGACAGAAGAAUCUGUAGACUCUCGUCAGCGGCGCAAAAGCUUCGGGUAAUUUCACGACCCGUCUUGAAACACGGACCAAGGAGUCUAACAUGUGCGCGAGUCAUUGGGUUUAUACUAAACCUAAAGGCGCAAUGAAAGUGAAGGUCCCGCCUUGUGCGGACCGAGGGAAGAUGGGGCGUGCUUCUGUGCGACCCCCGCAUUCCCGGGGCGUCUCGUUCUCAUUGCGAGUUGAGGCGCACCCAGAGCGUACACGUUGGGACCCGAAAGAUGGUGAACUAUGCCUGGCCAGGACGAAGUCAGGGGAAACCCUGAUGGAGGUCCGUAGCGAUUCUGACGUGCAAAUCGAUCGUCGGAGCUGGGUAUAGGGGCGAAAGACUAAUCGAACCAUCUA